rnacentral:rRNA from 1 species
UACGAAGGGGGCUAGCGUUGCUCGGAAUCACUGGGCGUAAAGGGCGCGUAGGCGGCGUUUUAAGUCGGGGGUGAAAGCCUGUGGCUCAACCACAGAAUGGCCUUCGAUACUGGGACGCUUGAGUAUGGUAGAGGUUGGUGGAACUGCGAGUGUAGAGGUGAAAUUCGUAGAUAUUCGCAAGAACACCGGUGGCGAAGGCGGCCAACUGGACCAUUACUGACACUGAUGAGCGAAAGCCAGGGGAGCAAACGGG